rnacentral:rRNA from 1 species
GUGUCAGCCGCCGCGGUAACACGUAGGAUCCGAGCGUUAUCCGAAUUUACUGGGCGUAAAGCGCAUGCAGGCGGCCGGCUAAGUUGGACGUGAAAGCUCCUGGCUCAACUGGGAGAGGUCGUUCAAGACUGGUGGGCUAGAGGGCGGCAGAGGGAGGUGGAAUUCCCGGUGUAGUGGUGAAAUGCGUAGAGAUCGGGAGGAACACCAGAGGCGAAGGCGGCCUCCUGGGCCGCACCUGACGCUGAGAUGCGAAAGCUAGGGGAGCGAACGGGAUUAGAAACCCUCGUAGUCC